ACUCCACCUAUUCCCCUCUGGCCUCUCUCCCUCCCUCGCCAGAUCCCCCACUCGACCUAACUUUGCCUUGCUCCGCCCCAACCGUACGCCGCCGCCCCGCCUUGCUCUGCCCCCUCCGUUCGCGGCGCCUGCACGCCGUCGGCGAUGCCGCCGCCUCUCCUUCCCUGCCUUCUUCUCCCCUCUCCUUCCCUGCGACUGCGAUUGCGACCAGCCAUGAAGAAGCCGCCCGUCCAGGCCUAGAUCGAGCACCCCGCCUCCUCGCCGAGUCCAUCGCGCACGGCCGUGGGAGUCAGGAAAACCGAGAUCCCCGCCGCCUGCUUGUACGACGGCGCAGCCAUCCCGCGCUCCUUGGCUCCCGCUUCGACUCCCACAAGGUCGCCCACCUCUCCCCGCAGUGUUCUCAAGUAUAACAACAUAGUGGGAUCAUUUGUCAACAUAGUGGUAUCAUUUUGCAGAUUCCAGCAAACAACAUAGUGGGAUCAUUUGUCAAGGCCAACAUCAGAGGUCUAAUUUACAAGUAUAAAUAGAUAAAAGAUUCAGAGAGUAGCUCUUUUCUUACCAGCAUCAUGAAGGUUGGGAAUAUCUUUGUAGAAAACAAAAAGAUUAGGAAACUGAAUCUAAGGACCAGGGCAAAACCUCUGUACUUUACUGUCUUUAACAUGGUAUAAAAUACCUGAAUUGAAUUUUUUAAUAGAGUAGUGAAGUGUUCACGAUCAAACAAUCCAAAAAAGAUUCACCCUGCAAUUUUGUGUUUAACAGAAACCAAAACUCAAUACUCAAGAGAACA